AGAAAAAGAAAAUUCAUCUCCCUACAAACUAUUCUGUCGCCAUCUCCCGUUCAUUGAUUCUGAGGAAGACUACUUAGGAACCACGCAAGGAGACUACUAGUUUGAGUACGUGCGCGUUCAAGGUUGGUAAAGGUACUUGGCUAUGAGUGAGGAGACGCUUAGAAUAACCACCUAGUCAAGAGACAAUUUCCAUUUCAGUCUAAGUUGGAUUUGUUAUUUAUUUUUAUGGGAUUUGGUUGUAAUAUUUUAUUGGCCACCUUUUUGACCACUUAGUUAAUUUUGACUUUAAUGGUUUUAAAUUGUUUUGUUGCUUUGCAUUUAUUUUCUAAGGAGAAUAAAUGUAGCAGUGACACUCCCAAGGUUUGGACGAUGAUUUUA